rnacentral:rRNA from 1 species
UAGCAUAUCAAUAAGCGGAGGAAAAGAAACCAACAGGGAUUACCUCAGUAACGGCGAGUGAAGCGGUAACAGCUCAAAUUUGAAAUCUGGCCCUUUUAGGGUCCGAGUUGUAAUUUGUAGAAGAUGCUUUGGGCGUGGCUCCGGUCUAAGUUCCUUGGAACAGGACGUCAUAGAGGGUGAGAAUCCCGUAUGUGACUGGUAGCUUUCGCCCGUGUAAAGCUCUUUCGACGAGUCGAGUUGUUUGGGAAUGCAGCUCAAAAUGGGUGGUAAAUUUCAUCUAAAGCUAAAUAUUGGCCAGAGACCGAUAGCGCACAAGUAGAGUGAUCGAAAGAUGAAAAGCACUUUGGAAAGAGAGUUAAACAGUACGUGAAAUUGUUGAAAGGGAAGCGCUUGCAACCAGACUCGCAGGCCGUCGAUCAUCUCAGGUUCUCCUGGGUGCACUCGGCGGUCUUCGGGCCAGCAUCGGUUUGGGUGGUGGGAUAAAGGCCUUGGGAAUGUAGCUUCUUUCGGGGAGUGUUAUAGCCCUCGGUGCAAUGCCGCCUACCCGGACCGAGGACCGCGCUUCGGCUAGGAUGCUGGCGUAAUGGUUGUAAGCGACCCGUCUUGAAACACGGACCAAGGAGUCUAACAUCUAUGCGAGUAUUUGGGUGUUAAACCCAUAUGCGUAAUGAAAGUGAACGGAGGUGAGAACCCUUAAGGGUGCAUCAUCGACCGAUCCUGAUGUCUUCGGAUGGAUUUGAGUAAGAGCAUAGCUGUUGGGACCCGAAAGAUGGUGAACUAUGCCUAAAUAGGGUGAAGCCAGAGGAAACUCUGGUGGAGGCUCGCAGCGGUUCUGACGUGCAAAUCGAUCGUCAAAUUUGGGUAUAGGGGCGAAAGACUAAUCGAACCAUCUAGUAGCUGGUUCCUG